rnacentral:lncRNA from 1 species
GAGAGGGAGAGUGAUGCUGAGACUGACUUGCUUGCGCAGCAGAAGCUUGAGGCUGAAGAAGUUGCAGAAUCAUGUUGAGAGUUGACUGAGUUUGAGCUGUGCCUUCAUUGAAGUCAGUCUUCAAAGCAUUAACAUCAGACUUGAUUUCCUGUGUGAGAGUCUCCAGGCCAGAAACCCGCAUCUCCAUGUUUAUGCCUCGCUUGAGUGCAGCAGGGACAGACUCAGAAGGACACUUGUUCUUGUACUGAAGAUUGCCAAGACCAUAGAUGGUGCCCCUGCGUGUCUGUCCACGCUGAAAAUUACAAACACAAGACAGUUAGCUUUCAAUAUACAGACACAAGAACAAUCAGUCAUAAAUAUACGGCAGAAGGCGCUUUGAAUAUACAGAGAACAAUACUAAGACAAUGAGCAGAAGAGAUUAUUACCUUGAUGUAUUCUUCGUUUAGGAGAAGGCGCUUUGAAGUGCUUGUGGCAGCCGUUGAGUCAGUUUGGCUAUCUCCAAGAGGAGAUCCAUCUUGUAGCAUCUCUUCAACCGCUUGCUCAACCUCCAGAACCAGUGCCUCUGCUCGUUCGUCAAGGAAGGUCCCAUCUUUGCGGCAGUGAGUCUUCCUCACAAGGUCGGGAUAUGAAACUGGUCCC